UGCCCCGUGGCUGAGUUGGUUACAGUGUCCGACUGUUACUGUUACCUAUGGUGUACUCGAGCGUCGAUUCGGGAGGUCCUCGGUUUCGCUAUGACAUCGGAAGGUCGUGAGUUCGAGCCUCACCGGGGCAG
rnacentral:tRNA from 1 species